UAGAGGAGAACCUCAUUCAGGGCAGGUCCUAUUCUUUCUGAGGGGACUGAGGGUAGAGGAGAACCUCGUUCAGGGCAGGUCCUAUUCUUUCUGAGGGGACUGAGGGUAGAGGAGAACCUCGUUCAGGGCAGGUCCUAUUCUUUCUGAGGGGACUGAGGGUAGAGGAGAACCUCGUUCAGGGCAGGUCCUAGUCUUUCUGAGGGGACUGGGGGUAGAGGAGAACCUCGUUCAGGGCAGGUCCUAUUCUGUCUGAGGGUAGAGGAGAACCUCGUUCAGGGCAGGUCCUAGUCUUUCUGAGGGGACAGGGGUAGAGGAGAACCUCGUUCAGG
ensembl:lncRNA